AGAUUUUUAAACUGAACGCGGAGAGGUAGCGGGCUGGACGCGAUGACUGGAGACAUGCCUGCCACGUCCAGCUUAAACAUGCAAAGGACUGCUGAGAUGAAGCCAAGCUCUGCCCCGCUCAGACCUCCUGACUGACAUCUGGUACUCAUGAAGGAGGAAAAUAAAACAUUGAUCAUUCUGCUGGGAUAGGCUCCAGCCCCCCACCCACCCCGACCCUGCAAAGGAUAAGCAGCUAUAGCUGAUGGAUUGGAGAUGACUUCAGACUCCUGCUGCAGCUGAGGAGGGAAGAGGACCUGGCAGUCAGUCGAAACCGACAUUAGAGGGAUUACAGGUUUUCAGGACCUUCCUGGAUUCUCUGUUGGGAUAUCGCCAGAAGAUAUCAGGUAGAAAUGUGUUUGCUGCAGAAAACAGAAUGUCAGUACUUAAUGUAAAAUUUGAAGAGCUGAAAUGUAGUUUAUGGUUCAGAAGUCAAUCAUGGGUUGUUAACCAACAUUUAUCAGUAACAACUGUGAUGUGAUGUGAGGAAGAAAUACACUGAAUGAUCCAGACCCAAACCAAAGCAUAUUUACGUGGUUUCAUAGAAAUAAUCAAGCUUUUACUGACCUCUACCUGCAAAUAUUAGGAACUGCAUCGUGUUCUUUACAGCAGAGACGCAAUAGAAACAUCGAGUAAAGAGGUAACAUGCUACACACUGCUGCUUUGUUAUUUGGUUAUUUGAGGUUUGAAAACGAGUUAUACUUUGACAAAAAGUGUUUGCGUUUGUGACAAAAGGACCAAAGUGGGUCAACAUUUAAUCUUUCUUACAAUAACUGAAUUAAUAGAACUACUUGGCAUCAUUUGCUCAAACUUCUCUCACCAUAUUUUAAGCAAAAUCAUUUUUGCUUAGUGACAGUUUUUUUCCCCCAAUCUAUACCAAAAUGCUAAUUAUUUAAAAAAAAAAACAAAACCCUAGAUUAUAUCCCUCAUACAUGUAUUAUUAGUUUUUGUACUUAAAGGAUUUGAAAGUGUUGAAAUAAACUUUAUCUGAACACAUUUGCUGUAGUUGUAACUUGUUUGUUAUAGAAACUGUUUUGAGCUUGUACAGUGAUGUUAAAACUGGAUUUACAAAGAAAAAGAAACACAUUGACAAUUCAUUAAACUGUUGGUUCUGAUUAGACAACAUAUGAAAGGUGUGAAAUGUGAGGAAUAAUUUACCAUCAUGUUUGAGAUUGUGUAAACCCAAAUGUCUGUGCAAUAAACCUGAAAAUGAAAGAUCAUUCAUGAGCUUUGGUAAAAGGUUUGAAACACUGGUCAGUGUAUUGUUUACACUGAGGCAAAAAAAAAAAAAAGUUUAAUACUGAUUAAGAUCCACUUGAGGGCGCUGUUUGUACCACAGACCCGGAUCUUAUGAACUGUGAAGAAAAGUUUCAG